GCUACUCCAGCAGCAGCUCCAGCUUCGUCUGAUCCGCCGCCAUCAGCGCUACUUUUGUAACAGAUCCUACUCCGCGUGUGUGUGUGAAAAUGACAGAGCAGACCCAGUAUUCAUAUUGGUUUUACAUCCUUUGUUUUAAGAGUCACAUCAUCUCGAAUGUAUUAACUCACAACAAUUUCUGUAAAACAGAGGAGUGCUCGUCUCCAUUUUAAAGAUGGCAAAAGGAUCAAAGCUGAGAUCCACAAAUGAAGAAUUGAGUGUUCGCAUUGCCCGGGCUCAAAGCCAGCACGAUAUUUCAGUUGCAAUCUGUAAAGCAUGCAGUCACUCAUCUACAUUGUUUCUGGAUUGGAGCUGGCACUUAGCUGGUGGGAAGAACUCCCAGUUGUCUUCACCUAUCCACCUACCUGUAGGUACGUAGGAUUCAGGGUUUGGAUGCAAGUCCGAAAUAGCAUUUUCUAAAAUGAUUCUGCAGCCUGUAGACUCAAACAGUCUGAAAAGUAUCUCUAGCCCAGCUUUUGUAGGUCUCCAUAGGCUUUAUAGUUUUGCCACCCGAAGUGGCACCACUUUGCAUAUUUAGCUGUAACUGCUCACCUGAGUACUUCUACUUCCCCACAGGGAUGCAACAGGCAACUGCAGAGUCAUGGGCCUGUGACAUGAAAGUUCUGCUUCACACAGGAUGUACCAUGAUGAGAUCCAGGGUAGAAAGAAAAUGUUGGAGAGUGGAUUAAAGGUUUGGAGACAUGCACAGAGGAAAGAGGGAGGAAAUGUGAAGUAGUUCAGGUCACACAAGACCAGGACAAAUUUACUUCUUAGAGUAUAAUUUAAGGCAUCUCCUUAUUCUUGGGCUUCCACACUAAGGGUAGCAUUAUCAGUGACACAGAAUCACAGAAUAUCCUGAGUUGGAAGGGAUCCACAAGGAUUGUCGAGUCCAACUCCUGGCCCUGCACAGGACACUCCCCAGGUGUCACACCAUGUGCUGAGUGUAUCAUUCAAACGCUUCUUGAACUCUUGUCAGAUUUUGGUGCUGUGACGACUUCCCUGGGGAGCCUGUUCCAGCACCUAACUACCCUCUGGAUGAAGAACCUUUUUCUAAUAUCCAACCUAAACCUCACCUGACAUAACUUCAGGCCAUUCCCUUGGGUCCUGUCCCUGGUCACCACAGAGAAGAGAUCAUUGUCUGCCCCUCCUCUUUUCCUCUCUAGGAAGUUGUGAUUGCAAUGGAGUCUCCCUUCAGUCUCCUCCAGGCUGAACAGACCAAGUGACCUCAGCUGCUCCUUACACAGCUUCCUCUCAGGGCCCUUCACUUAGUUGUGGCCCAAAGCACCUACAGUCUCACAGUAGGCAACACAGUGAAGGACUAACACUCUGCCAACACCUCUCCAGAAUAAAAGGGAAUGCCCCACCUGGCUCCUUACCUGUUUGAAGGAUCAAGCAUAUGCCUGUUUCAUCUCUUCUCAGUAGAAAGUGUUCAUGUUCAGUUCUCAGCUGUGUUGCCCCCAGAGGCCUGUUCAGCAAUCCAGGGACACUGACCUGGGAAACAGGUGCUCUCCUGAUAGAGAACCCACCAGAGUGGGCAACCAACACAUGUUGGUCUGGGCAAGAGGGGGUGCAAAUGACUAUGCAAACACACAUGGAAAAUUGUUUCAGGAGGUGAGAAUAAGCUAGACCACCCUUACUCAGAUGUACCAUUUCAAUAUAACAUACAGGAGACCAGAUCAGAGAAUGAUAAUGCAAAAUAAUAAAUAGAGAAGUAGAGGGUUACACAGGAACAUUUCUUUCAUCAUUAGUAUAAUUUUCUGUAAACCUACACUUCUGAUGCUUAUAGAGCUUCUUAGGGCGGUAAUUAUAGCUGCUAAUGAUUCCAACAGCAAUAACACAUGGCUAGCAACGGAACUGUGCAAUGCACGGGUGGGUACCUAGUGCUGUAAGGCCUGGAUUGUGACUGUUUCCUCAGUACUAAUACACUGAACAAUAGCUAGAAAGUGAAAAAGACUAGAGAAAAUACUUCUAUGUUUUAACAGAGCAAUAUUCAAAGUUUCCAUUCUACUGUGCUAUUUAAAACUGUAUAACAAGACCCUCUGCAAACUAAUCCUACAGUGAACACUGUAAGUGAAUACCUAUGGAGCUCACUGAAAGUCAGGGAAGAAAGAGAGUUGUCUACAUGUGGCUUCAGAAUGGAGAAGAAAUACAGAGGUCCAAACAAGCUGGUUGAGGUGCGAAGGAGAAGCCAGGGCUGAAAAAUGGAGCUUAGCAAGGUGUGGCAUUCAUGGGAAGAUCUGUCAAGAUCAACCUGCAAGCUUUACAGGAUUUACAAGAAACUUGAACUGGAGCCCAGUUUUGAGAAAAGGUGGACUCAAAUAACAGUCUUCCUGCAAAAUGAAGUGAGAAUGGAAGUCAGGUCUUGAAUUUUUACCUUUUUUGAAGCUGAAACUUAGGAAGCCAAUGCCACACUGAAGCAUGGGGAAGAAAAGAAAGCAGGACUUAUUCCAUGAACAAUGUGUUGUUUACUAAUUGUUCACCCGUUUGCUUCACCUAAUUAUUUAUGGCUUAAAAAUUCAUUAGUAUGACAAGUAUUUAAUAAAGAUGCAGAAUGUUUAGAAAUGGUGAUCUCAUCCUAAACCCAUGUAUGGAUAUGAAUAAUUGGGCUGAAAUGAGUUCCCACUCACUUUGUUUCAACAAAAAAGUGUGAUUGACUUAAAACAUAGAAAUAGCAGAAUAAAGUUUCUUGGUAUGUCUUCAUCCUCCCAUAAUGCAGGGAAAAAAAAGUACAAAUGUAGUUUCAUCAUGAAAUUUUAAAAAGCCAUUAAAACCUCCUAAACAAGCAAUUUCUUUACUUUUGAUGAAUAAACCUUUUUGUUACAUAGUCACAGUAUUUUAAAUACAUAGCUUGUAUAUCACAGCAAUGUUGUCCUGCAGAUAUUCUUAUAGUUUAUCUGCAUUGAGAUUCCUAAAGAUCUAUUACACCUGACAUGUCCUUUUUUUAAGCACUUUAAAAUAUAGUCUUGAAUGACAAACAAGGAAAGUAAAUCUUUCUUUAUUCUUACUUCACCCCAUUCUAAAUUUAUUGCCUGUCAUAUCUGACCGAGACCUUUCUGUGAAGGAGCACAGGAGCGACAGGUAUUGAUAUAAUGAGGCAUCUUACAGAAAGUUUGCUUUGCAGCUACUUGGUGGACUUGGCAGUGUUAGCUUUAUGGUUGGACUCUAUCUUAAAGAUCCUUUCCAACCUAAGUGAUACCAUUAUUCUAUUCUAUGAUUCUACUGAAAUUACUGGGAAUCUUUCAAUUGACCAUGGUAGUCUGUAUUUCAGAAAUAAAAAUUUCUAUUGCAAAACUACAAAAUUUAAUUGGCAGCAAAGUCUUCCUCUCAGUUCAUUUUAUCAGUAACAAGUCUUUCCCUUUUAUUUCCAUUUCUGGAUAUAUUUUUUACAUUUUCAUAAAUAAUUUACAUUGUUGCAAAUCUAGCAUAAAAGAAGAGAGCAGGGUCUUCUGUCUCUUAACUACUUUAAAAAAUACCCAAAUAUGGUAGGUUAGAAUGAGAAUCAAAGUUUUAUUAAUCUAGUUUUAUACUGUAUAUAAACUCACUCUUCAGCAAUCAGCAUUGUCAAAAAACUUCUUGAAAUCAAUGACAGUUUAAGACUUAACAUAUACAGUGAUUGCAGCACUUGUGUGAAUAGAUAGCACACAGUUAUGAAGUGUCUUCAGUGUCUUUUGCCGGCGGGGAAGGGGGGAGGGUAUAGGCAAUAAACCCUUAUCAGCAGUGUGCUGAGUAUGUUUCACCUUUGUGGCUGGGGUGACAUGAACUUUGCUAGACAGAACCCACAGAUGUUAUUGGGUUCAGCCAAAAUGUACUUGCUGAAACAGUGUAACAAAGUGUGACAUGGUCUGUAUGGAUGUCCAAAGAAGAGCAAUGAAGCAAGAGAAAGCUUUAAAGCAUAGAUCUGACCAGGAUUAGCUGAGCGAGCUGGGGGUGUUCAACCUGGAGAAAGGAAGGCUUGGGGAGACCUUAUCACUCUCUACAACUAUCUGAAAAGAGAUUGUAGACAGAUGAGGGUCAGUCUCUUCUCAUGAGUAACAAGCAAUAGGAUAAGGCAAAAUGGCCUUAAAUUGCACAAGCAAGGGUUUAGAUUGAAUAUUAGAAAAUAUUUCUUCAUGAAAGAGGUUGUCAAGCACUGGAACAGGCUGCCCACAGAAGUGGUGAAGUCACCACACCUGAACAUAUUUAAAAGAUACGUAGAGGUGGCACUUAGGGACAUUGUUUACUGGUGGACUUAGCAAUGCUUGAAUGGUUUAACUAGAUGAUCUUAUGAGUCUUUUCCAGCCUAAAUGAUUCUGUGGUUCUGUGAUAAUCAAUGCCACGUACCAAAAUACCAUUUUGUUCCUGGCAUGUAGUAUCUUUUCUAUGUCUGUGUUUUAUAUAAGGCAGAAGGGGGUAAUCUUACUGAAUAAUUCUCAUUCUGUUUGCUUGUGUAGGACUGACUAGAGAGUGCAGGCAGCCUGAUCUCAAUUUCUAGUUUCAGGAGGAAAAAAGCUCUUAUUGAAGUCUGCACCAGAUGGAAAUGCAGAACCCAGCCCAUUGCAAGUGAGAUGAAUUGUUUUACAUUUGAAUUUGAUAUAAUUUAUAUUGUAAAAACUUUGUGACCUACAUCCAGCAGCAAGAUAGUCAACACUGCUUUGUUCUCACCCUUGCUUUUAUUCAUAUUUGAGUAAGCAUGCUGGAUCUGGUAGCAAAACUUUCACUACCUGAUAUAGCAGUUUACAUUUUUCUUGUUAUUGUCAGAUCUUAGGAAAACAAUCAUCCUAAUUCUAGUCAUGAGAGCAGGGAUAUAUGUAUUUUCACAAUGGAAGUUUUUUUGUUUGUUUGAGUUUUUUGACACUGCAAUUAAACCAACAAUAAUUUUAGAAUAGUUUAAUAUUGAAACUUGGAGUCCAGCAUAACAUAUAUUCUCUCAGUGAAUACCAAGAAAAAUAUCUUAAAACAAACUGCUGGGCAUCUUAAACUUCAUCCAUUGUGAUGGUUUUGCUUGGUGUAGAGUUGAUUUUGCUUUCCUAAUGUGUGUGGCUUUUGCUUUACCUAUUGAUCUGUCUUUGUCUCAACUCACAAGUUGUUUUCUCACUUUCACCCUUCAGAUUCUCUCCCACAUCCAAGUGGUGAGGAGUGAGUGAACGGCUGUGUGGGGCUGAGUUGCUGGCUGGGGUUAAAUCACAGCAGCCAUUUCAGGAGAAAGCAUAAUGGAGAGUUUAGUCAAUUAUCACUGGUCUUGGUACAUCUACACAAGAACGCUUUAGCACUUUGUGGAGAUGUUAGUUUGGUUCUGGAAGGCUCUAUGUCCACUCUAAUAUAGUUAUUAUGCUUCUGAGUUUCAAAGGAAAAUUAAGUUAUUUGUUCAAGAAUCACUGUGUUGUAUUUCACGGUGUAAUGUAGAAGUGCUCACUGUAAAUCUCAUAUUGAUGUUAUGACACUAUUCACAGAAAACUAUAAAUGCCAGUAAUCUUGCUGGAGAAAACUCUCAAUUAUAAAUGUUAAACUGUGGUAUGUUCUGAACUUGUAAAGAAACAUAACUUCUAGGAUCAGUCUUAUACAAAUAACAUAUGUUAAGGUUGUAAUAAAGUGACAUAAUAUUUUUGUACAA